rnacentral:tRNA from 1 species
GCUUCUUUUAUAGUGAUACGAUAAAAUGAGCAAAAACGCUUUUAACCCCUUUCCCAUCAAUGGUAAGGAUGAGGUCGCCGGUUCGAGCCCGGCAGGAAGCUCCA